rnacentral:rRNA from 1 species
GAUGAACGCUGGCGGCGUGCCUAAUACAUGCAAGCCGAGCGAACGGACGAGAAGCUUGCUUUUCUGAUGUUAGCGGCGGACGGGUGAGUAACACGUGGAUAACCUACCUAUAAGACUGGGAUAACUUCGGGAAACCGGAGCUAAUACCGGAUAAUAUUUUGAACCGCAUGGUUCAAAAGUGAAAGACGGUCUUGCUGUCACUUAUAGAUGGAUCCGCGCUGCAUUAGCUAGUUGGUAAGGUAACGGCUUACCAAGGCAACGAUGCAUAGCCGACCUGAGAGGGUGAUCGGCCACACUGGAACUGAGACACGGUCCAGACUCCUACGGGAGGCAGCAGUAGGGAAUCUUCCGCAAUGGGCGAAAGCCUGACGGAGCAACGCCGCGUGAGUGAUGAAGGUCUUCGGAUCGUAAAACUCUGUUAUUAGGGAAGAACAUAUGUGUAAGUAACUGUGCACAUCUUGACGGUACCUAAUCAGAAAGCCACGGCUAACUACGU